CGCGGAACACGAGGAAUUCUGCGUGAAUCUGCCGGGACCAUCCGGUAAGGCUAAAUACUCCCGAGAGACCGAUAGUGAACCAGUACCGUGAGGGAAAGGUGAAAAGCACUUCGAACAGAAGAGUGAAAUAGUCCCUGAACCCAUACGCCUACAAGCUGUCGGAGCCGCUUCGUGCGGUGACGGCGUGCCUUUUGCAUAAUGAGCCUACGAGUUACUCAUCACCAGCGAGGUUAAGUACUUCAGGUACGUAAGCCGAAGCGAAAGCGAGUCUGAAUAGGGCGUCAAGUUGGUGGUGGUAGACGCGAAACCUUAGUGAUCUACCCAUGGGCAGGGUGAAGGUUUGGUAACACAAACUGGAGGCCCGAACCGGUAAACGUUGAAAAGUUUUCGGAUGACCUGUGGGUAGGGGUGAAAGGCCAAUCAAACUGGGAAAUAGCUCGUACUCUCCGAAAUGCAUUUAGGUGCAGCCUCUGUUGUUUUGUUCUAGAGGUAGAGCUACUGAUUGGAUGCGAGGGCUUCACCGCCUAUCAAAUCCGGCCAAACUCCGAAUGCUAGAACAUGAAGACAGGGAGUGAGCCAGCGGGUGCUAAGGUCCGUUGACGAAAGAGGGAGAACUCAGACCAUCAGCUAAGGUCCCCAAUUAUAUGCUAAGUUGGAAUUAAAACGGGGUGGGACUGCUUAGACAGCUAGGAUGUUGGCUUGGAAGCAGCCAUUCAUUUAAAGAGUGCGUAACAGCUCACUAGUCGAGCGGUCCUGCAUGGAUAAUACGCGGGCAUAAGCAUAUAACCGAAGCUAUGGGAUUGUAGAUGAUACAAUCGGUAGGAGAGCAUUCCAUUCAGCAUAGAAGCAGUACCGUGAGGUAUUGUGGAGCGGAUGGAAAAGCAAAUGUAGGCAUAAGUAACGAUAAUGCGGGUGAGAACCCCGCACGCCGAAAGAUCAAGGAUUCCCCGGCAAUGUCAAUCAUCCGGGGGUAAGUCGGAUCCUAAGGGUAAGCCGAGUGGCGAUCCCGAUGGCAAACAGGUUAAUAUUCCUGUACUGAUCAUAACUGCGAUGCAGCGACGCAGAGGUGACACUGCUGCGUACUGACGGAAUAGUACGUUGAAACCCGUAUUCUUUGAUACCGGUAGUGAAGCACGCCGGUAGAGAUGAAAGGUGAUAGUACCGCAAUGCUUCGGUUGCGCGGAUAAUGCAGGUAAGCUGACUGCCAAGAAAACCUGCUAAGCUUCAGGUAAUGAUCAUCCGUACUGUAAACGGACACACGUGAUCAGGUAGAAAAUACUAAGGCGCUCGAGAGAUUCAUGGUUAAGGAACUAGGCAAAAUGGUCCUGUAACUUCGGGAUAAAGGACGCUCUUGUGAAAGAGCCGCAGAUAAUAGGCCCAGGCGACUGUUUACCAAAAACACAUGGCUAUGCUAAUUCGCAAGAAGAUGUAUAUGGCCUGACACCUGCCCGGUGCCGGAAGGUUAAGAGGAGAGCUCAGAGGUAACUCGAAGGUUUGAAUUGAAGCCCCGGUAAACGGCGGCCGUAACUAUAACGGUCCUAAGGUAGCGAAAUUCCUUGUCGGGUAAGUUC
rnacentral:rRNA from 1 species